UCUUCUUCUUCUUCUUUGCAGCUGCUCCCAUAAAGGUUUCAGAAGAGAUAUUUACCGCCUUACAUUUAUCAGAACCACAGUGAUUUAUUCUUAUUCUCUGCAGAGUCCAAGAGAUAGUUCCACACCCCUUCACAUAUUGCCUUGGGGAACAAUAAUGUCAACUUCACAAUUAAGGGCUGCAGGAGGUUGUUUAUUCAACUAUGCUUGAAAAGUCUGAUGUAUAAAAUACCUUGGGGCCAAGAUAUAGAGCAUUUGAAGGAGAAAGUAUAAAACCCAAUCAAAACAUAGGAAGCUGCCUUCUAGCUCAGUACCAUCUACUGACUGGCAGCAUCUCUCCAGGUAGAGGACAUCCUCAGCUCUACCUGUUAUCAGGUAGCAGAGACUGAACCUGACACCUUCUGGGUGGGAAAAAGAUGCUCCAUCACUGAGCUAUGGCCCUUCCCUUCAAUCCUAAUUUGGGCAGAGCUGAACACCCCUUGCAUUUGUCAAGUCACUGAAGCCUCUGUCUUGCAAAUAUUUGGGGUUUCUUCUAAUUAGCAGCUUGUGUGGACGGGAACAGUCACAAGGAAGAGUAGCAGGCAGACCCAAAAUGAUGAUGAUUAUUAUACCGCUGCUUGUUUCGUUGCCUCUAGCAACGCAUGGGAUGCAGCAGAGGGCAAAAUGUCCACUGAAUCUGAUCAGAGAUAGAAAUCUGACUGUUAAUUAUCACCGGCAAGGAGAUCACCUCAUUAGUGGAAUUGUAUCUUCAAGAUUAAUUGGAAAUCAACUUCCCUUUAGCUUUUCCAGCACCCCAGUAAGCGAUUUUGAGAAGUAAGUAAUGGUGUAUUGCCAUACAGUGAUACCUCGGGUUAAGUACUUAAUUCGUUCCGGAGGUCUGUACUUAACCUGAAACUGUUCUUAACCUGAAGCACCACUUUAGCUAAUGGGGCCUCCUGCUGCCGUCACGCCACCAGAGCACGAUUUCUGUUCUCAUCCUGAAGCAAAGUUCUUAACCUGAAGCAAUAUUUCUGGGGUAGCAGAGUCUGUAACCUGAAGCGUAUGUAACCUGAAGCGUAUGUAACCCAAGGUACCACUGUAUUCCUUCUUCCUAAACUACUCUCCACUUCCCUUGCUGUGCUGAUAAAUCACUAUAUUUGUUGUUUGAAGAUUAAGGGAGCAUCUCAUCCACUGGAAUCAAAUACAGCUGGAAAAUCUGAGUACUGUAGGAGUAUUGCAGGC